rnacentral:tRNA from 1 species
GAGUGGUGCCGGAGUGGUUAUCGGGCAUGACUACAAAUCAUGUGGCUUUUCCCGUGAAGGUUUGAAUCCUGCUGCUCA